rnacentral:lncRNA from 1 species
AUUAAGUGCAAAUAUGUCAAAAAUUACAUCCGCGAGAAAUCUCCAGUUAAACUGCCGUUUGAACAGAUACGGUAAAGAUCGUUUAAACAUUUUUUGUAGUUCUGACAUUGAAACUCGCAGUGUUCGAAUAGUUUCAUUUAAUCACUGUGUGGGUUUUUUAAAAGUUGAAAUAUUUCUUGACUGAAUAUCUAGUUCACAUUGAUUUUCUAGAAAUGACCGGAAAAUUGUAAAUCUAUUAAUAUGUACACAAAACAAAGGAAAUUUAAACGUUAAAAUAGGUAAUUCUCCGAAAUGAUUAACCGGGAAGUAGUAUUACACUUCGGAGAAUCGAUCAAUGGAACGGGUUGGGUGUCAUUUUGUUUAGGACAGGAGAUGACAGAGGUUUAUAUGGACGCGGGAUUUCAAUUGGACAUUACCGAGGAUAAGAAGCGGAAUGCCCCUUGAAAUCCUGUAUUUGUAUGAGCGCUACAUCAGGUAAUAAAUAUUCAUGAAAAUCGGAUAUAGAAGGACAUUUGUACAACGCUUGGUUUUCUUGACCUCCAGACACCGUAUCUACAUAACUAUUUUAAGUAAGGAGACAACGUUGCUAAAAAUUUCAUUCUAUUUUUUUAUGAUGUAUUAUUUUUUUUUAAUUUCUUUGAUGUUUAUUCUUUUAAUUCAAAUUUUAUAUUGUUGAAAAAACGAAUGAAGACAAAAAAAAAUGUUAUUAUUUAAUUUUCUGUUUUAUGUUAUUUUAUUGUCAAACAUUAUGAAGUUUUAACGAUUACAAAUAAUUUACAUUAUUGAAUUUUUAUAAUUUGAUGUCCAGUGGCAAAUACUUCAUGUUUAUGAUGGCUUAUGGUUGAGGUAUUAAUUUAUGUGAUUUAGAAACUUUUAUAACUAACAAUAUUUUCAUGUUAGUAUAAAAAUUUUGUCGUUCUGUACUCGAUUCAAAAUAUUAAAAUUUCAAUACGACAGAAAAAUACUGAUUUAUAUCAGGAUGAAAUAUAAAAUUUCCGUGUUCUUUACUAAAAAGUGUCUCUUUCCUGUUGUCAUGAUGCACAAUGCGGAAACUUUAGUGGAUGUCCUUGAAUAAAACAAUUGUGUAGGAUGUAAAUCCAAUUGUUUCUUUUCCGUCUGGUAUAGAUUUUAUUGUCACAUUUCCUGGUGCUGGCUUGCACAUUUUCAUCUAUUCAGAAACAAAGAAAAUUAGAAAAGAUCUUUUUAGAAUGUGUAUGCUUUGAAGCUGACAUAGUUCUGAGAUAUAAAUCUUGUGAAUAUUUUCAUCUUUCCAAAGUUCAGUGUCUUAUGUCUGUUAUCAAUAAAACUAUGUUUUCCAUAGACAUAUUACUGAAUUAAUAGUAGUGGGAAAACUCAAUGAAACACAAGAUAAUAGUUGGAAUAAAUUAAACUAUGAAUAAUUAAUGAAUAAAAGGUUUUUAACAGCUUAUUAGUAUAAUUUUAAUUGUAAUCUAUGUUUAGAAAAGAUUUUUUUUUCAUUUUCAAUGAUAAAGGCGGAGUAUAUUUUGUUGAAAUAGCUGACACUUAUAUAUAGAUAUAAAGUGUCUUUCAUAAACGACGAAAUAACUCCUUCCUGUGAUGUAAAUAGUUUAGAGAUAAGACAAAAUUUUGUGCUAUUUAGCCUUGUUAGUUAUUCUUGUAUUUUUUCCCGAUUUCACCUUUUUCAAGUAUUUUCUUGUUCCUGUGUAGAAACUUUGUUGAAUUGUGAAUUUUAAGUAAUAAGAUCUUUAUUCAUAACAAAAUUAUGUCAUCCGUUUCGCUUCAAAGAAUAUCAUUUGUGUUAUUACUUACAAUGCAGUUUUACUUAUAAUGCUAUUUAAUUGUUAUGUUAAAACUUGCAUAUCUCUAAAUAUAAAAGGACCCAAUAAACGUGGCUAAUUUGUCAUCAAUAAAGAUCUUGUUACCAAAAAUUACUUGUAAAAAGUGGAAUUGUAGAAAAAUACAACAGUAACUAACCAAAUUAAUUGUACAGAACAUUGAAUAUAUCUUUACACUAUUUGCAUCGUAGGAAGGUGUUAUUUCAUCUCUUAUCACAAAGAAUUUUUGGAUAAUGAUUCGUCUUUUUCGAAUUUUAUUUUGCUUCAUAUUUUUCUAGGGUCCAAAUUGAUAAACUACUGUUAUUGUAUUAUCACAUGGAAACGUGCAAGAAUACAUUCAAUAACUAAAUAUAGUACAAAAUAUCUACAAAAUAAAUAAAUAAAAAUAUAACAAAAAAGCAAAAGAGGGGGAUUCAUGGAUUAUGAACUACAUUUUUAUCUUUAAAUUAAACUCUUCUAAACGUAUCCUUGAAUAAAUCAUAUAUUUAAAUAAGGUCAUAGAUUAUAGGAAUAGAUAUAUCAAAAUUAAGAAUUUGAAUAAAUAAUACUGUUAUAAGGGGUAAUUACUUCAAGUAAUCGACAAAUUGCUAAUUUUAGAAUAUAUUCUCAAAUAUCUUCUGACUUGAUCCUACAAAAAAAUAUUUGAAAGAUAAUAAAGAGAAAUAAAAUUGAAAAAUUUAUAAUAAAACUAAGUCCAAAUAAAAUCAUGCAAAAUUAGUUUUUGUAACGAUACAUUCAUUCUUUAUCCAUAAUUUGAUUUAUUCUAACAUUUUUGCUGUUUCCUGGAGUUUUGGAACUAUUUUAUUCAGUAAAUUAAUAUUUCUAUAUUUACGAAAAAUACUGAUUUAUUUAUUAAAGAUUUUCAUGGCUACUUUUUAAAGUUAAAGAAAUUAAAAGAACUCAUGAAAAGUAAGAAAAAAAAAUAAUAAUAUUGAUAAUAUAAAAAAGAUAAUGAUAACAAUAAUAAUUAUAAAUAUAAUAAUAAAAUGAUAAUAAUAAAAAUAAUAAUUAUAUUAAUAAUAAGAAUAAUUUUUUUUCAGUACAAAAUGUUGAGUAAUUUUAAACAGAAAAUUAAUGCGAUUUAGAAUAAACAUUAAUGAAAUAAUUAAAAAAAGAUCGAGUUAAAUAACCAAAUAAUAGACAAUAGUCACAUACUCCUAUUGUAUACAAUUCUAAAUCAUAUUCAAGCUGAGGAUAUAGUAAAAAUAAAAGAGAGAUGUAGGACAAGUUUACUCAGUUGCUGGUUGUUGAAAGAAUAACUGUUUCCAACUGUCUAUGUUGUUUUUUUUUUUUUGUAAGGGGGAUCAAGUCAUUCCAUAAUAUGCAGUUCAUAACUUCAAAUUUAAUGCAGGAAUUUCUUAAACAAAACUAUCUGAAACACUAUUAAGUUUCUGCUAGACAUUACGAAAAAGUGAAUUAAUUUAGGAACGGUUACAUCAUCCUCAAUUCCGUCAAUGUGCAUCAUAUCUACAUUUUUUACAUUUUUACAGGUUUACAUAUUGCGCAUUUUUUCUCUUAUGUUUUAAGAUUUUAAGUGUUGCUUAUAAGAUACUUCAUGUUUUCUCCCUUUUAAUAUCACGUUAAAAUGGAAACUGACGCAUGAUUAAAUUGAAGUUCCUUUAAUUACAGGUACUUAGUUAGUUCGAUCAUGUUUAUUUUUUUUAAAUAAACACCUCUAUACAUGUCCUUGAAUAAAGAUAUAUAUAAGGUCAUAGAUCUAUGAAUAGAUAUAACAAAACUAAGAAUUUGAAUAAAUAAUACUGUUAUCAGGGAAAGUUAUUUCAAGCAAUUAACAAAUUAUAUUCUCUUGACAUUACAAUUGUUUCUUGUCACUUCAAUUAUCUUCAAGUUUUAAAAAGCUACUAGCAUGAAAACAAAUUCCUUAGCAAUUCGAAGUACUUGAAGAAAGAAUUUGUUAAAGUUUAUUCAAGAUUUUUUUCGACCUUAAUAUUACCAUUUAUAAGAUUUUUUUGUAACGGUGAUUUAAUAUGUUGCUUUCUUACUUUAAGGAUAGUAGCUGUUUUAAAAAUUCGUUACUCUGAUGAAAAAAAGUAAAUUAGGAAAAAAUACCGAACUCGAGGAAAAUUCUAAACGAAAAAGACCCUAAGCAAAUGGAAAAAUCAGCAGCUCAUACACCUCAUACGAAUGAAUAACAACUGUCAUAUUCAUGACUAGGUACAGGCACUUUCUUAUGUAGAAAAUUGCGGAUUAAAACUGGGUUUAUAGCUAGGUAAACUUUGCACUUGUUUGAGAGUCCCAUUAUAUUGACAACGAGGUGUGAACAAAACAAACAGACAUAACAGGUAAAAAUGUCAAAAAUAGGGGUACAAUAGUCAACAUUGUGUUAUAAAUCUCAAUCAUCAUAAAGUCACAUUCCAAUUCCCUAUUAUCUAUAUUUUAUCAGAGUUCUAUUGGUGUGCAUACACAACCAUUACGGUUGUGAGAUUGGAAUAAACGACCACCUCACUUGGUACUCCGAAUUUCAUGUUUAGGACUUGAAUUAAUAUUAUUCAAGAGCGAGUUAAUAAGCUUUUAAAACUAACCAUUCAAAAUCGGUUGUAUCAAAUUAGUACAAUAUAAGGUAUAUUAUCCAUUUCACUUCUGAUCAUGAUGUCCUUCGGAUCAUGCUUACUUAUAUUCAAUCUGUUAUUGAUUAAAGUUCAUUGCAGUUGAAUGGUCCAACUUUUUUUGCUCUGGUUGAUUGUUUCUCCAGUGACAGGCAUAAUACAUCUCCUUAUUAAAUAUUCCAUAAAAUCAGAAUUCUUCAGGAAUAACCACUCGAUUUUUAGAAAGGGUUGUUUCGUCUUACAAUUAUACAAAAUCAAUACCCGUAGAAGCCAUAGUACAGACGGUAUAAAUGGUUAAGAUUUCUUCUGGAAAAUGUCGAUGUCUCCUUAACACAUAAAAUUAGCAUUUCGUUUGCGUAACCAGAAGAUACCAAUGGGCAUCUUACUUGCCAUAAAAAAAACAUGUAAAAAGCCGAAAACGAUUAUCUAUUGACAAACAGUUAAUAAACUUAUCAUAUAUACCAGUAUUGACAUUUUGUAUUUGUGCAAGACGUGCGUUUCGUUUCGUCUACAAAAGUCUCAUCAGUGAUGCCCAAAUAAAAAAAAAGUUUUAAACAAAUCAAAAAAAAGUUUUAAAAAACCGAAUAAAGUAUAGAGUUAAAAAGCAUUGAGGACCAAAAAAAAUGAACAAUUUUAGUUAAGUUUGUUAAAUCAUGUCAGUACCGAAGUACUGACUACUGAGCUGAUGAUACCAUCGGGGACUGAUAGUCCACUAGCAGAGGUAUCGACCCAGUGAUGUAAAAAAUUGACAACAACACGUUUAAUAAUUUCUUGCGUCCGAAGCGCUUUUCUUGAUUUUUAGGAAUCAAUGAACCAUAUCAAAAAUUCAUAUCGAGGGACUGGAAGAGAACAUAUGUUUUGACUUACAAAAGUUAUUGAGUAAUUGCCACGGUUAAACGAAUAGUCGCUACGAUGAUAUUUUUGCGUCGUAAUUUUGAGAGAAUUUUGUAUAAAUAGCUUGCUGCACCAUAACAUAAAUACACGAAAUAACGCAAACUCCUCGCCACACCCCUAUAUAUAUGUUACAGUGAAUUUGUAUAAUCAGGGAUAAUGUAGACUCCCUGAUUUUUCAGGGAUUAUGUAGAAUCACUAAAAAGAUUAGUGAUUAUAUAGAUUCCCUGAAAAUGACCAGUGAUUUUAAUAAUCACUGAUAAUUUUAAUUAUUAUUCUACAAAUUCCCUAAUAUGAUUUCAGGUAUCAUCAAUAAAUAAAAAAGCUUCAAAGAUGAUAUCUCAAACCAAUUACACUAGUGGUUCCAUCAAUGAUUUGUAUAGUCUUACAAUACAAAUCCAUGGUUCCAGGAAAGGAAGAUCCAAAAAAAAACUAAUGGUCAAUAUUCACG